AGACACUCCUAGUUCUUGAGGUGAGGCUGACACACAAGAAAGGAAUGACCACCCAGCACCGGGGACACAUUUCAGGCUGCACGAGAAAGAGGGCCUCCCUCAAGUCCGCACAAGACUCUUGCAUUUCUCAUAACUGGCUGACUCCACCCAGACCUGUGAUUCAUCCAGUUCUGUGGCCCCCACCCAGAGGCAGACUCAGCACCUGAAGACCGUCUUCCAUACUCUUGUGAUUUCAUCCCCAACCAAUCAACAUUCCCCAUUCCUUAGACCCCUCCACACCAAACUAUCCUUGAAAAACCCUAACCUCUGAGCCUUUGGGGAGACUGAUUUGAGUAAUAACUCUGUCUCCCGCAUGACUGAUCUCCUGUCAAUGAAAUGUCUUUACUGCAAUACCAUUAUCUCAGUAAAUGGAUUUUGUCUGUGCAGUGGGCAAGAAGAACCUGUUGGGUGAUUACAGAUUUGUCCAGUGCUGUCCAAGGGAGAGAAUAUAGUCAUGGGUUCUUAGUUUCUCUUUCUGGUUGGGCCAGUAAAUCCCCUUCCUCAUCCCUCUUUUCCGCUUAUCACUAGAGACAGAGGUGAAAAUCCAUGGCUUCAGACUGCUAAAAGCCUAAAACAAAACAAAACAAAACAAAACAGAGCAGCAACAACAGCAAAAACAACAACAAAAUAAGGUGGACUGGACCAGCUUAAGCUCAUAGACCUUAUUUAAGUGGACUCACACUGGAUGCAGGCCUCUGACUCGGGCGCAUUAUGCUCAGCGUGGUGUAUUGUUGUGUGUAUCUGCAGUGUCUUAGUCUGCUUGGGCUGUCAUAACAAACACCACUGGCUGGGGGGCUUAGAUGACAGAAAUUCAUUUUCUCACAGCUCCAGAGGCUGAAGUCCAUGAUCAAGGUGCCAGCCAAUUUGGUUUGAUGAGGGCUCUUUUCUUGACUUGCAGACAGCCACCUUUCUUGCUAUGUCUUCAUGCAGCCUCCUCUCAGUGUGUACAUGGAGUGAGGGAGAGGGGGUGAGGAGAGGGAGGGGGAGGAGAGAGGAGGAGGAGGGUGCUUUCUGGUGUUUCCUCCAUAAGGACACCAAUCCUACUGAAUUAAAGCUUCACUUAACCUUAAUUAUGACCUCAGUUAACCUUAAUUACUUCCUUAGAGGCCUCAUCUCCAAAUAUAGACAUACUGGGGUUAGGGCUUCAGCAUACACAUUCUGGAGGGUCAGAAACAUUCUGUCCAUAACAAGCAAUUUGUUCCCUUCAUGGUUGAGUUGCAGAGUAGUAUUCCAUUACAUGGAUUUGUUGUAUGAAUAUAUCUCAACUGGUUUGUUCACCACCUGUUGAAGGACAUGAAGUUUGUUUCCAGUUUGGGGCUAUUUAUUAUGAAUGAGGAGAACAUUUGUAUAACAGUCUUUGUGUGGAUCUGGAUUAACCAACAAAGGGAAUAACCUGGAGCACACGAAUGAAAACUCCACUGGUGGUGAAGUCUUCAGGAAUGGCUCCAUCCAGAGGCUCCAGACCGCACUCCAUUUCUCUACUAUGCUUUCAGCUAUAUCUUUGUGUAUGCGUGAGGCUGACCUUUCCAUCCCUUCUUACAGCUCAGUGUUUCUCUUUUGCUUACUCAAUCAGCAAACAUUUAUGGAGCCAGCUCCAUGCCAAGCACUGCACUAUGAGUGGGAAACAAUGGGUGAGUAAGCUCUGUCCUUGCCCUCUUGGAGCAUAUGGUCUAGUGAGAGACACGGACAGAUGGACACAUAAGCCCACAAGUGCUAUAUACAAGCCCACACCUCCAAGUGAGAAGAAGGAUUCUGUAAGAUGAAAGUCCAGCUACUCGGGAGGCUGAGGCAGGAGAAUGGUGUGAACCCGGGAAGGGGAGCUUGCAGUGGGCCGAGAACACGCCACUGCACUCCAGCCUGGGCAACAGAAUAAGACUCCAUCUCAAAAAAAAAAAAAAAAAAAGAUGAAAGGGAGAGAUGUCAGUGACUCUCCUCUCUGGGGACAAUGGGGUCAGGCCACAGAGUCUUUUGUUGCUUUCAGCUCUGUGUUUUUCUCUGUUGCAUCCGUCUUCCUGUAGCGGCCCCAAUGAAGUCUCCUAGAUGUCAGAUGUCCACACAGAGCCUAUUUGUUUGCUUCUGAUCACAGACUUGUUUGCAAAGCAAGGCUUGUGAAAGCAUUUCCAGUCCAACUAGAUGAUUAAAACCCUGCAGGAGAAUUUCAUGUCCUUGGGGCUGGGGAACUCAAUGUUCCACAUUGGUGUUUCUCUCUCCUUAAGGACCUUCCAUGCAGCUGCUGGGGCUGGUGGGAUGGAUUAUUUAUUGGCCUGAUUAAAUGUGUCCUUAAGCUAUAAAACUGGUGCCAGAGUCUUGGGCCACACUUCCAGCACGAGACUGAUUUGUCUCCUGAGGGAAGAGCUCUAAGAAUUGUGGCCUGUCUCUCCUCCCACAUGAUUUCAGGACUGGGAGAUUCUGGAUAAGCACGAGUGUUCUGCCCCAAAGGGUUUUUACUCAAGGGAGUCUUCAUUUUACAACUAUUCCAUUUAUGCCUGAUGCACACCAGGCAUUGGGCCAGACUCUGGGCACAGCAACAAGCAGGACAGACUCGGUCUCUCCCCAGAGGAGCUCAGAGCCUGGCGGGGGCAGAUACCCAUGAAACCAUCACUCAUGUAUUACAUACGUAAGUAUAAACCAUGGUGACUGCCACAAAAGAGGGACACAGGGUUUUUAAGUGACCAUAUCAGGGGGACUAGACUUAGAUGAAGUGUCCAGUGACAUCUCAACUAUGGAGAUCUGAAGGAUGAGCACAGGAAGGGAGGGGAGGCAAUGGAACAGCACAUGCAAAGGCACCAAGGGAAGAGGAAUCAGGGCACAGUGAGGAGGUGUGAGGAGGUAAGAGGAACAGCAUGGGCUGAGCAGAAUGAGAACGGGGAAGAGUGGUUCAAAAGGGUAGAGGGCCAGUCACACCAGGCCCUGUGGAGUCUAGAGUUUAUUCUUAGAGCCCUGGGGAGCCAUGCAGGUGUGAGCAGAAGGUUGGUGUCCCUGCUCUCCUUGACCACCGCAUGAGACCUCCCACAGGCAGGCUCUUCCUCUGACCCUUCCUGCUGCAGGGUCUUUCUAAAGCAUCUCUUAUCCCACCAUUCCCAGCCUUAGAACCUUCCAAUAACUCUUUACUGUGGAUGCAACGUCAAAUCUCCUUAGCGAGGGCUUGAGGUCAGAAUAGUUGGUCAAGACUUUGAAGAACAAGCAAGUGACUGGGAGUUUGUUGGAAGUCAUUGUUUGCUGUCUUUCUUUUCCUUUGAAUAAUGUAGUGCUAUGCACUCCUUUUGGGCAGAAGUCAUGAUACAACCUUUUCUUAUAUUCCCAACAGAGGCCAAAACAUGGGCAAUAUUGUCAUCCUCAUCAUCAUUAUCAUCUUCAUCAUGGGCUCCAUUAAUUAGGCCAAGCAUUUUAUACGCUGUAUUGGUUAGCUGUUGCUGUGGAACUUAACAGCCUAAAAUAGUGAUUUAUUAUCACAACCAUUUAUUUUGGUCACAAUUCUGUGGGUUGGCAGUACAAGUUGGGUUUGGUGGGGUAGUUCUUCUGGUGUUGACUGGCCUCUCUAACAUGUCUGUGGUUAACUGUGGGCCAGCAGGCUGCCCCUGCUUCUGGGGAUUGAUUGACUGUUGGCUGGGUCAGUGGGGAUGACUGAUUAAUAUGUCUUCAUCCUUCAGGUGAGAUUGGGCCUCUUCAUAUGGUAGUGGCGAGGUCUCAGCAUAAGAAGAGAUACCUACUCAAAGUGAGAAGGGAUAGUUAGUUGGCCACAUCGAGUUACAAGGCCAUCCAUAUUGAAGAAAGUGAAGAAAGAGACUCUGCCGCUUGACAGGAAGCAAGGCAAAAGGACAUGGAUAUGGCAGGUUGUGAAAAAUUGGGUCACUUUUGAAAACAAUCAAUUUCACAGGUAUUAUCUCAUUUCCUCAAAAAGACAAAGUCAAAGCUCAGUUUUACAGGUAAAGCAGCUGAGGCACAGAGAAGAAAAGGAGCUUGCUCAAGGAGCUGCUAAUAGAGUUGAGAUUCAAACCCCGGUGUUUAUCACUCUACAGACAACACGUUAUUAACCCCUGUGAGUUACUGCCCACUCCACUCACAGACAAAGACCUAAGGAGGUCAGCAUCCCAGGAGGCCACUGUCUUUGUCAUCAUUGCCAUCAUCAUCACCAUCAUCACAUUUAUUGAAUAUCUGUGAUGUGCAGAUGCUAUCAGUGCUUUACAUGGAUUAAUUCAUUUAUUAUAAUUCACCCAAUGUCCCUAUAAGAUGUACAUUAAUGAUUUUCCCAUGUAACGUGGGUCAGGAUUAGAAAUUUCAUGACGACUUCACUCAUUUUGAUAUUCCCUCUAUAGCACAAUAUCUGGCACAUAGGUCAUACCCUCUUGCCAUAUGUUUGCUGAAUGAAUGAGGGCAGAAGUAGGGGAGUGAACAAGACUCAAGGCAAACAAUCAUUAGCCCAAAGUCACACAAAGCAGGACUAGAUCUCAAGAUCCCCCAUCUCCUUGCCAUGUGGCCCCUGGGCAGCCUUGUUACCUGGAUCUGCUGCUGCUCCACUCCCCCAAGGUGGCUGAAAAUAGAAAACAAGAUUCGGGAUGUGCUGUUCGGUCUUCCAGCAGGUGCCCCCAAACCAAACAUAGUCCCAGAAACGUAAAUCUGAGAAUGUUUUGAAACUACCUAGCACAGUGGAGAGAGCACUGGGCUCAGAGUCUGAAGACCCAUGUGUGCCACCCUUGGUUGAUGUGUGAUCCUGGAUGGGUCACUUGGAGAAGACCAGACUUUCCUCAUCAGAAAUCCAGGGCUUCAGAUUUUACAUCCUGUUUACAUUCCAGGACUGUGCGGGAGAUAAGAGGAGCUCACAGAUGCAAACUCUCCGUGAAGCUUGUACUUGACUCAACUCAUGGACCUCUCCGGGUUUGCUCAGCUCCACUGGUUGCACCCCCACCAACACCCCCAGCCUCACUUACUUGCUCAGGGGAGCACAGGCCCCACACCAGCUCAUCUCCUAAUUGCCACGGGCUCCACCUCCCACGGGGCAACGUCUGCACCUAGGCCUGGCCUCUUACCUUCCGUGGAACCACAGCAACUCUGGUGCCCUGGUCCAACCUGACUGGUCAUGCAGAGGCUCUGGCUUGUCUCACUGUUUCUAGACCCAGAUGAAGCACUCUGCCCUGAGAUGUAGCAUGUGGCUUCCCCAGCAGCUGUCUGAAGGGGCCACAACACUUUCAGGGGAGUUAAGGCCCGUAGGGUCAAUUUGGACCAGUGAAAGACAGAUGAUGGAAAAUCACCAGGAGAUGCCUCUUUCUUCCUCUGCUAGUCUUGGCUCUCUGGAGAUGUUACAUGGCUGAGUGACCUGGUGUGCUUUGCUCUGAAGCUGUGACAUGCUCAAUCAUGCACCACCCUGUGUUUUCUUUCUCUCCUUCCCUGCUUCACUUCCCGUCUUCCCUCAGUCUUCCCCCAGCUCACACCCUGGAAUGACACACAGGUACCUGAGCUUCACUGGAGAAUCUGUGGGUUAGGUAACCUAGUCGAAGAUAAAGAGAAGAAUUUGAGAAAGUUGUCAAUUUGCAACCACUCAAAAAAUCAGAAGAAGACUGUAUCUACUGCUGGCAAGGAUAUGGAGCAACCGGAAUGCUCUCGUACGCUGCUGGUGAGAAUGUAAAAUGGAACAGCCACUUUGGAAAAUGGGCAGUUUCUUAAAACAUUAAACAUACACCUACCAUAUGGCCCAAUCUUUCCACUUCUAGGUAUUUAUCCAAGAGAGAAAAAAAUACAUAUGUCUACACAAAGACUUGUACGAGAAUGUUUAUAGCAGCUUUAUUUAUAAUAGCCUCAAACUGGAAACAACUCAAAUGUCCCCCAACUGGUGAAUAUAUAGACAAAUGGUGGUAUAUUCAUACAAUGGAAUUUUACUCAGCAAUAAAAAUGAAUAAACUCUGGAUACCCACAACAUGCGUGAAUCUCUAAAUAAUUAUGCUAAGUGAAAAAGGCCAAAGAAAGUACUGUUUGAUUCCAUUUACAUAAAAUUCUAGAAGACGCAAACAAAUCUAUAAAAACAGAAAGUAGGCCAAGGAUUGCCUGGGGACGGGGGUGGAGGAGGGGUGGGUUGUAAACAGGAGGGCACGAGGCGACUUUGGGGGCAAUGGAAAUGCUUGCCAUCUUGAUUGUGGUGAUGGUCUCAACGGACCACCUUCAUAAAGAUGUGAAAAGGGGGGAAAAUCACCAGGCCUAUAAGUGAACCCAACCAAAUCUUUAGGGAACGAUCACUCCGAUGCUAUUUAAAGCAUUUCAGUGCACAGAGAAAGAAGGAAAACUUCCAAAUUCCUUUUGUGAAACUAGCAUAAUUCUGAUACAGAAAACCUGGCAAAAGGGGCCCAUUAAUGAGUGUGCCGCUCUGCGCACACCUGUGGAGUUAUUAUUGACUCUGUAAAUCAGCUACACUGCAGUUGACCUACUUUCACAAUUUUUUUCUGUCUUUAGUUUCCAGAAAUUUAAUUGCAUUGUGUGUUCCUGUGGAUCUCUUUGGAUGCAUUCUGUUUGGGGAAAGCAGCAAGCAGGUUUACCAGAUGGGAUCAAGAGGGAAGAGGAAGGAGGCCAGCCUUGGAGGCUGAUCCCAGUGAGAGGGCUUCUCCUAGAGGGGUGCCAGGGCCAGGAGCCUCCAAGACCUGUGCGUGGGCUCACUGAUGCCCCUCUCGCCUCUCUCUGCUUGUCCCUCCCACCCUGACCCACCUGCUGCUCUCCACGCCCAUGGCUCCCACCUUUGUUUGUAUCUCCACUGUCUCUUGCCUUUUCUUUAAAAAUCUGACAGUCUCUGAGCCCCCUCUCCCUGCAAUCCAUCCUCCAUGAUGCCAGAAAUCCAAUUAUGUAACAGAGCUAGGAUCCAGCCACUCCUCUGCUCGCUUCCUGUUAGGGGCUGUGCUGCGUCUCCUUCUCCACCCCAGAAAUUUUUAUGUUGAAGUCCUAAUCCCCAGUAUAUCAGAGCAUGCCCAUAUCUGGAGAUAGGGCCUCUAAAGAGAUAGUCAAGUUAAAAUGAGGCUGUUAAGGUGGACCCUCAUCCAAUCUGACUGGAGGUCUUAUAAAAGGAGGAGAUUGGACACACAGAGACCCCAGGGCUAGGCAUAUUCAGAGGAGAGACUGUGAAGACACAGUGAGAAGGUGACCACCUGCAAGCCGAGGAGAGAGGCCCUGGGAGAACCCAAACUUGCCAACACCUUGAUCUUAGACUUCCGGCCUCCCGAAUUGUUAGAAAAUAAAUGUCUGUUGCUUAAGCCCCCUAGUCUGUGUAUUUUGUCAUGGAAGCUCUAGCAAACUAAUACUGUCCUCAUCUCAGACUCUGCUCUCCUGUGGCCCACAGAACAGGUGCAAACUUAGGACUGCACAGCCCAGCACCGCAGCCUCCUUCCCCGCAAUGCUCUAGCAACGCUGAAAGGGCUGCACCAAGUUGUUCAUGUCUCUGCGUCUCUGCAAUGCCACUCCCUCUGCCUGGGGCAGCCUCCCCUCCUUCUUGUCAACAGGCAGAGGCUCUGCUCUGCAGGUCUGACUUGUACAUCCACCACCUGCACUCAGCAUAGGACCUGGCACUGGGCAGAUGCCCCUGAAGGCUUAGAGGGAGGAAACAGAAAUGUCAGAGGGGCUGCAUUGGUGGACACAGGCAGGCCGGCUUUGUGGUCGUACCACCUGCGACUUACACAGCUUCCAAGUAUCUCUUAUUUAGGUCAAUGUUUUCUUCUUCUUCUUUUUUUUUUUUUCUUGAUGCCCAGUAAAGUUCAACUUUAUUGUAAAUUUUUUGUUUUUUGAGUCGGGGUCUCACUCUGCUGCCCAGGCUGGAGUGCAGUGGUGUAAUCAUAGCUCACUGCAGCCUGAACUCCUGGGCUCAAGUGAUCCUCCUGCCCAAAGUUUUCUUCUUACUUAACCUUGGUUUCUCAUUUUUCUACAAUGACCAUGAACUUUUCAUCGUAAUAACAAAAAGAAAAAAAAAAGGAGUAAUAAAGAUAGGACACGUGAUGAAAAAAAUCACUUUUCAAACACCCAACACAUACUGAAAGUACAAAUGACAUGGUUUUCUUCCAUUUUUCAUAUUAUGUUCCUGUCUGCAAUCCAUAAUCAUCUCUCUCCAAGUUCAGGAGAUCCUCUGAGGCAGGUCCGGUGCUGCUGCGACUCCCCUGAGUAAUAUGAGCACAGACUUCCCAAGCUCAGAUAGGAAUCAAAUUGUCCUCGGAAGAGACUUGGAGCGGAAGAAGCUGGUGACCUGGAAACACAAAGAAAACCUCAACAAAAGCCUGCUCUCUCACCAAAUGGCCAGGAAAAGGCAGCUUAGCAAGAGAGAAAACUUUUAGGCAACCUGUUCUACUCCAGCUAAACACCACACAAAUCAUACAAAGCAAAUGGUGAGUGGGAGCCUAGACGCCCCCACUUGUGAGGCUGUAACAAGGAUCCCAGUAGCCUGGCUGGAGCGGUGUCCAAGAAGGCCAAGUAGAGAGCCGAAGGCCUCACCCUCGCUGGCUGGCAAUCAGCUCAUCCUUCCCCACCCUCAUGGAGUCCACCCACAUGGAGACUCUGGAUUUUCACUCCCACUCAGCAAUAAUGUGGAGUCUCUCCCUCUCCCCACUCUCCAGUGUGUCCAAGGAGGUCUUGGGAGGGUCAGGACUUUCAGCAGCACCCAGCAGCAAUGAGGCCACCUCCAUCAAACUGUCAGUGAGACUGCUGGGGAGCAGGAACUCUCUCCCCCAACUUGGCAGUAAUAAGAACCCCCACACCUUGGUGUCAGCGGAGGCUGAGUGGGAAACCUGGACUUCUACUUUCACAUGUCAGCCACGAGGAGUGCCACACACAUGCCCCAGUGAGAACAGUUCAGAGAAAGCUAGCUACAGAGAAGGCUUCCAUAAGGCCCCGAGUCUCAUCGAAAUACA
rnacentral:lncRNA from 1 species